AACGAACGCUGGCGGCAGGCCUAACACAUGCAAGUCGAGCGAAGCCUUCGGGCUUAGCGGCGGACGGGUGAGUAACGCGUGGGAACGUGCCCUUUGGUACGGAAUAGCCCCGGGAAACUGGGAGUAAUACCGUAUGUGCCCUUCGGGGGAAAGAUUUAUCGCCAAAGGAUCGGCCCGCGUUGGAUUAGGUAGUUGGUGGGGUAAUGGUCUACCAAGCCGACGAUCCAUAGCUGGUUUGAGAGGAUAAUCAGCCACACUGGGACGGAGACACGGCCCAGACUCCUACGGGAGGCAGCAGUGGGGAAUCUUAGACAAUGGGGGAAACCCUGAUCUAGCCAUGCCGCGUGAUCGAUGAAGGCCUUAGGGUUGUAAAGAUCUUUCAGUGGGGAAGAUAAUGACUGUACCCACAGAAGAAGCCCCGGCUAACUCCGUGCCAGCCGCCGCAGUAAUAC
rnacentral:rRNA from 1 species